rnacentral:rRNA from 1 species
GACAGAGGUCUCAAGCGUUGUUCGGAAUCACUGGGCGUAAAGGGUGUGUAGGCUGCGUGUUAAGUCAGAUGUGAAAUCCCGGGGCUCAACCUCGGAACUGCAUCCGAUACUGGCAUGCUAGAGAAUUGGAGAGGAGUCUAGAAUUCACGGUGUAGCAGUGAAAUGCGUAGAUAUCGUGAGGAAUACCAAGUGCGAAGGCAGGACUCUGGACAUUUUCUGACGCUGAGACACGAAGGCUAGGGGAGCAAACGGG